rnacentral:rRNA from 1 species
GCUUGCUUCUUUGCUGACGAGUGGCGGACGGGUGAGUAAUGUCUGGGAAACUGCCUGAUGGAGGGGGAUAACUACUGGAAACGGUAGCUAAUACCGCAUAACGUCGCAAGACCAAAGAGGGGGACCUUCGGGCCUCUUGCCAUCGGAUGUGCCCAGAUGGGAUUAGCUAGUAGGUGGGGUAACGGCUCACCUAGGCGACGAUCCCUAGCUGGUCUGAGAGGAUGACCAGCCACACUGGAACUGAGACACGGUCCAGACUCCUACGGGAGGCAGCAGUGGGGAAUAUUGCACAAUGGGCGC